UGAAAACCAAAACAACUAAUUUCUCUAUUUUUCAGUUCAGAUUUCUACGGAAGUGGAAAUUUUUGCAUUAAAAGAUGGGGACAACGAUGAGAAUUGUUUUCGGGCUGCUUACACUUGUCACCUGUGGAAUGAUUCUCGGAGCUUUAAUUCAAUUAGCAUUUAUUCGUAGGAUGGAGGACUCACUGGACAGAGAAUUUUCUUUUGGUGGAAAGCAUGCAAGUUUAGCUGGCAGCAAUUUUCCGUUAGCAAGAGGAAUCUCUAAUUGGCCUCAUGACAAAGAUGCCAUAGCACUGCGUGUAGGAUAUGUGAAGCCUGAAAUAAUUAGUUGGAAACCAAGAAUUGUAUUAUUUCACAACUUCUUGAGUGCAGAGGAAUGUGAUUAUCUUAGAUCGAUUGCCAUUCCUCGCCUUCAUGUUUCCACUGUUGUAGAUGCAAAAACUGGGAAGGGAGUUAAGAGUGAUGUCAGAACAAGUUCUGGUAUGUUUCUGAACCCUGAUGAGAGGAAGUAUCCCAUGAUACAGGCAAUUGAAAAACGAAUUUCUGUGUAUUCUCAAAUACCAGUAGAAAAUGGGGAACUCAUUCAAGUGUUAAGGUAUGAAAAGAA
rnacentral:misc_RNA from 1 species